rnacentral:rRNA from 1 species
AGCGGCGGACUGGUGAGUAACGCGUGGGUAAUCUACCUUUGGCAUGGGGAUAGCCACUAGAAAUAGUGGGUAAUACCGAAUACGUUCCCUGGGGGGAGGUUUCAGGGAAGAAAGGGUGCUACGGCACCGGCCGGAGAUGAGCUCGCGUCCCAUUAGCUAGUUGGUGAGGUAACGGCCCACCAAGGCGAUGAUGGGUAGCCGGCCUGAGAGGGUGUACGGCCACACUGGGACUGAGAUACGGCCCAGACUCCUACGGGAGGCAGCAGCUAAGAAUAUUCCGCAAUGGACGAAAGUCUGACGGAGCGACGCCGCGUGGAUGAUGAAGGCCGAAAGGUUGUAAAGUCCUUUUGCUGGGGAAGAAUAAGUGUGGGAGGGAAUGCCCGCAUGAUGACAUGAACCGGCGAAUAAGCCCCGGCCAACUACGUGCCAGCAGCCGCGGUAACAC